AUGGAGCCACGGCGCCUGAGCCUGGCAGAGGCAGAAGAUGGAGCCGCGGCGCCUGAUCCUGGCAGCGGCGGAGACGGAGCUCGAUGUGCUGGAGUUACCGGCGCUAUCUUGCUGCCGGAGACGGAGCUCGAGGUACUCGGAGGUGGGGAGCUCGAGGUGCUGGGUGCGGGAGCUCGAGGAGCUGACGCCGGCGACGGGGUCCUAGUGCUAGGGAUGGAGCUCGAGGUUCUGGCCGGCGGACGGAGGUUCCGCGCGGUGGAUCGCGACGAGCGGACGGAGAACUGGGUACUGGAUUGUAAUGAUUUCAAAUUUCGGAAGGGCCUUAUUGUAAAAUUGAUUUGUUCACGAUUCCGCCUCCCCUGGAGUCAUCUAUUACCGAACGGAGGGAGUAUGUUUCUUUGCAAAAGCUGGUCUUUCUGUUGUUUGUCACUACAGGAAGCGAGUGAUCUAGCGUGUGUUUUGGCCAUGACCACAAAAUUUGGUUGGAUGGCUACCAAUUUUUUGGCAUGCCAAUGCCUCUUUGGCUAUCCUAGUUUAUUUUUAUAG
rnacentral:rRNA from 1 species